rnacentral:rRNA from 1 species
GUGGUGCAUGGCUGUCGUCAGCUCGUGUCGUGAGAUGUUGGGUUAAGUCCCGCAACGAGCGCAACCCUUGUCACAUGUUGCCUGCAUGAUGGUGGGGACUCGUGAGAGACUGCCGGGGUCAACUCGGAGGAAGGUGGGGAUGACGUCAAGUCAUCAUGCCCCUUAUGUCCAGGGCUUCACACAUGCUACAAUGGCCGGUACAAAGGGCUGCGAUCCCGUGAGGUUAAGCGAAUCCUUGGUAAAGCCGGUCUCAGUUCGGAUCGGGGUCUGCAACUCGACCCCGUCAAGUCGGA